GAUCAUGGCUCAGGAUGAACGCUAGCUACAGGCUUAACACAUGCAAGUCGAGGGGCAGCAUGGUCUUAGCUUGCUAAGUUUGAUGGCGACCGGCGCACGGGUGAGUAACACGUAUCCAACCUGCCGAUGACUCGGGGAUAGCCUUUCGAAAGAAAGAUUAAUACCCGAUGGCAUAGUUCUUCCGCAUGGUAGAACUAUUAAAGAAUUUCGGUCAUCGAUGGGGAUGCGUUCCA
rnacentral:rRNA from 1 species